rnacentral:rRNA from 1 species
UACGUAGGCAGCGAGCGUUGUUCGGAGUUACUGGGCGUAAAGAGUGCGUAGGCGGUUUUCUAAGUUUGGUGUGAAAUCUCCCGGCUCAACUGGGAGGGUGCGCCGAAGACUGGAAGGCUUGAGUAUGGGAGAGGUAAGCGGAAUUCCUGGUGUAGCAGUGAAAUGCGUAGAUAUCAGGAGGAAUACCGAUGGCGAAGGCAGGUCUCUGGGCUAUAACUGACGCUCAUGCACGAAAGCGUGGGGAGCAAACAGG